rnacentral:lncRNA from 1 species
GGGAGAGAAAAAAAAAUGAGGUAUCAAAUGUCAAUAAUAUAAAAAGGGUUUUUCCCCUCUUCUAUAACAUCAAUUAGUCUGUCCAGAUUUUUUAGAAUCAGACAAAAAAUGUAUACACAACAAGCAACAAGACAAUGGGUCACUGAUAUUGUGGACGCUGAACUUUUCUGUGGUAAGAAGAUCUUCACUAUAGAGAAUGUCCUAAACCACUGAAAUGACAGAUUAAUUGCAUUCUAAUAAGUUAAGGGGAUCUUCAAAGAAAAGCGUCCACUUGCUCAGGUCAUGUUUCUGAGAGUCGUAGCGUCUUAUGAUAAGAAGAUGAACCCAUAUUUCUACAAACACAAGACAAAAGUUCAUGCCUAGGUCUACUUCAAGGUUUCGAGAUGGAUUGUCUGGCUUAGGAUGAAGAUCAAUCACCCUGAAGGAAAUUAUGUAGGAGCUCGGUUUGGGGCUCAUUGCAUACAUCCUUUUAAGCUCGAAAAGUAUUGCUUGGAAAACUUUACUUCUUUGUAGGACCAGUCGUUCUAGUCAAAUAUUAAUCUGAUCUCAAUCCUCUGUGUUGAGCGUUUUGGAGGCCAAGGUUGUCAUGACAUCUUAUCCCAAUGUGGACGAGCUAAAGGCCGGCAUCAUGGAGUACAAGAAUAAGAUGUCCAAGGAACCCUUACAGAAGACUUGUACCUGGUGUCGUUCUCUGUCCGAGAAUGUGACUGUUUCUGGGGGUGUUCACAUUGAUUAAUAAUUGUCACUUCAUAGAAAAUCAUUUUUUGUUAAAAGAGUUUUUCAAAUAAAAAGGACUUCACACUGUU